UUUAGCUGCAUAUUACGUAUAUCUAAUUCUAUCUACUAAUCAAAUCUGACUUAUCAAGUCAAAUCUGUUCAAGUUAAUAUGGCUGGCCCAAGAUAAGAAUCAUUAUAGCUAGGGAGCGUCUAGAACUUUGUGCUGAUGUUCUUAUAAAACACAUUCUUAUAAAAGAAAGGGCGACAGCAAAGAAGAACAACGUGCAGCGAAAAGUAUCGCACACGAACAAAAUAACAGUUCUCUUCCAAAAAUACUAAAGGAAUUCCAAAGCUUUUUACUCACCGUGUAUGACUUUGUGCUGACGUAUGCUGACAUGUGUCGAAUAUUUUCAUUGCAAGUUUUUUUGGCCAGCUAUUUUUUACAUAUACUGAUUUUUCGGCAUGUAUUAUGCCGAAUUGAAGCUGUAGUGAUAGUAUUCUGUAUUUUAUUGAAAAUUUUUAUGCUCGAAUGAUUAUCAAUUGAAACAAA